AUUGCGCGUCUCGCGUGGACCCGGCAGGAGCGGCGGCGCGGCCGGAGCGAGCUUCGGAGAAGCAGUGGUGGCUUCCGUGAGAUGGCGGAGGAGGAGGCGGGUCUCCGCGCUUAGGUCAUUUACUAUGAUGUCUUCCAGUCACAACAGUAUGGCUCCAAAUGGUGAAAUUUCAUUCUGGUUUUUUGGCUGAGCACUAUUCUAUUUGUGUACAUCCAUCACAGUUACUUUAUCCCUUCAUCUGUGGAUGGGCAGGUUUUUCCACGUGGCUGCAAGUGACGAGAUUUCACCCAUUUCUAUGAUUGAAGAACAUUCUCCUCUGGAUGUAUACUGCAGUUUCCUCGUCCCUUCAUCAAUGGAUGAACAGGUAACAUUCGUUCUAUGUGGAUGGAAGCAGUAUCUCCGUGUGGUUUUCCUUGACAUUCUUGUGAGGAUUAGAGCUUUGGAGAAGCUUUCAUUUACCUGACAAUAAAACCUACAUGUCUCCUCUGGACACCACAGGUCAAACCUUUCAAGAGACAACAAUCGUCAAAACCUCCUCACCAUGACAGCAAGCAAGGAUGAAGGACCCUGAAGACCCUCAAUGCCUCUUUUCAUAGGGAAGUAGCUACAGAGAAUGACCUCUGCCCCAUCUCCCAAAAGAUGUCUGGGUCCCAACUCCUGGAGGGAGAAAUGUAAGAGUAGACAGUCAGAUAUGAGCAGGCGUGAGGGGGAGGUAUUCAUGUUGGAAAGAACCCCACAGAACACCUCUUAGGACGCGCAGUACUCACUCCAUGGUUGAACUGUCAGAAUGCUGUUAACUAGAUCCUGAUAAGGAAAAAGGCAGAAGGGGAAUUCCUGAGAGCUGCGCAGGCACAAUGAGUACAAAAUUGACUGCUAGCCCUUCCCCGGGUGGUGGUAAGAAGCAGUGCCACCAUUAGACAGGAUUCGUAUUGAUCACUGGUUCCCGCGCGUGUGCAUUAAGCACAGUAACAGGGGAUCCCCCAAAGUUUGGUGAGAACUGGGUAAAGAAAGAACUGAGGCAAUAGGAGAUGAUAAUGCACAAUGUCUUCGGCGUAUUUCCAGCAGGGUCAGCCCACUUCUCUCGCUUAGAAUGUACUUGUACUUCCCCAAUAAAACUUCUGCUUGCUUUA